rnacentral:lncRNA from 1 species
AACUCAGACAUACAGAGUUAAAGUGAAAGAAUGUCUCUCUUACGUCAGGCUUUUAACAAAAAUGUUAAAUAGAAAUACUUUACAAAGGCCUUUUGAAACUUCCUAGGAGGAGAUCAGAUCAAUCGACCUGCUUGAGGACCAAGGUGAGUGACUUCUUCCGUUUUCUUUUUGAAUAUGACUGUCCUCAGAGUAGGGUGUAUAAAUGUGCACAGGUUAGCUUGUUCACUUGCUUAAAGACCUUGUCGUGAGGGCGGCAUAUGAAGAAGGGUAGUUCUCUGGAGAUGCAGUCGAACCCUUUUUAACGAAUACAAGGUAUAUUUAUCUCAUGGGCUGGCAACUUGGUAGUGUUAUUCUAGAAAUCUUUAGGUAUCGAAGUGUUGGCAAUCUUCCUAGAACUGUACAGUAAAUUAAUGGUGCAGACCAUGAUGGCUUCGAAUCAGUGACCAACAGGUGCAAAAAGACUCUAUUUCGUCAGUCGUCUUGAAGCUUUCUUGAGGAGGAACCAAUCUCUAGUUUUGAAAGGGAACCAGAAUUGUGCAGGCUAGGACGUAUGGUGUUAAAAAGCAAGCUUGAAUGUAACUAGAUUUCCCGAGUUUACCUGUGAUGACAGAGGAACCAUAACGGGUCAUCCAGAUCAUGUCUAGAUAGUGUGUCCAAGCUUGUGGGCGACAUGCUGUAUACGUUUGCGAUCUACACACCCGACUUAGGAAUCGGCUACUUAAAGCUAAAUGUAGCCUCAAGGAUAGAUUAGCGAAUUAGGAGGUGGUUAACAACAGUGAUGGGUUGCCUUGAAGUGGGAAAAUAGAUGAGAAUUGACAGGGUUUAGCAAAGAGCUGGAGGUGGAGAGGAAUCGAUUUGAGUGGGAGCUAUUUUGCAAGAAGAAAAAAACAAUUAGCUAAGGCACCGAAGACUGCAUUGUCAGAGUUAAAGCCCGCAUGCUAAAAAUACGAAAAAACUAAAGCUGUUCGAGGAGUCUAAGUUGCGGCGACGAGAUGUAGAAUCAAGGCUGAGUCUAGUGUCUGACCGCAACAAAGUCACAGUCCGAACUGCGGAUGGGUGCAUCCUAGUCAGUUCCGAACAGAAGGAUGCGGCUUUCCAGUACAGCGAAAAAUUCGGACACCCUCCUUUCUCAGCAGCAUCCAGCGGUUCACACUACUGAAGAUUUUCUGGUUAUUUCACCGGUUGCGGAAGAAAUCUACCAAGAGGUCGUCAAACACGUGGGCAUGAACUCGUAGGUCGAAGAACAGACCUUCCAAACUAGGCAGUUUGCACUUCGUUUCACUGGUUAGUGCCGCCCAUAUUUUAGUGGCUGCUGUAAUCUUCUUGGAAAGCCUCGCAUUUUCUGUCGUUAGGUGAGAGAUGCUACCUAUGCAGGUGCUACAUUCCACUACUGUCUCUAGACCCUCGCCCGUCACAACCGGUCGAGCAAUUUUUCGCCGUACUCAACUGUGUGUUCCUUUCAACACAGAGGGGAGAAACAUUGUUUGCAUUGUUCCAUUAUAUCGUGCCAAUCCUUAAAAUCGAAUGUAGUUACAGAUGCUAGCUCCUUUUAUUUACGUGUAUUGGAUUACAAACAUAGAUUGAAAAUUCAAAUGUUACGGUAAAAACAGUUACCUCCCAUUUAACGGGCCAGCAAAUGAAGUUAUUUCCCCUGAAGCACUUCGCAGAUUAUCUCCCACUUUGUGUACAAUGAUCCCUCGUAGAUUGGUUCCGAGACCGGCUGCGAUAACUGAAUUUGCGCGAAGUAGGGACACACUAUUUACAGUAUUUAUUUAACGCGUAUUUGGACUUUUAAAACCCUCCCUGUACUGUUAACAACCCACCCAUUACAGUAGUCUAUUAGUAACAAGGACAACUGUUAAGCAAUAAUACUUUAGAUUUAAAAAAAAGAUUGUUACUGUAUUCAACACGAAAGAAGUUGAAGUAAAAUUUGAAUGAUGAUGAAGCUGACGGUGGUGUCCUUUCCUGGGACACCUCUUCCACUUCUGAAUGUGCAACCAUAGUAGCAGCAGGAACUGGCUCUUUUUUGCGAGGCUGCAAAAACAUUCUUCGUUUGCGUUUAGGCUCAGUACCAGCCUUGGAAGAAGCAGCACGUUUAGGAGCCAUUGCAGGGGAUGAAAACGCAAAGAAACAAAACAAAAAAAAAAUCACACACAGCACAGCGUAAAGUAGUACAGUAAACCACUCGGCGAGAAAGCUUGAAGCGAAAUGGCUGCAAGUGAGAGACAAGGGAAGAUGAUGCGGAUCUGAGCAUCGGUCUAAGCACCAAUCACAGGCCAGAUUAUAAAAUAGAAAGCUGUGUUCAAAUACCCCUAUAUAUGCUUUUUUUUUGCUAUUUUAUGCUCGCUUUGUUGUUCUUAGACUAGGAAAUAAUAUUUAUUAUUGAUAUUUUAAUGUAUUUAAUGAAAAAUUUUAGGUGUUCAUGUACAUAUAUUUAAAAAAUCCGUGAAGUUGUGAAUCCGCGAUAGUUGAACCGCAAAGUAGCGAGGGAUCACUGUACUGAGUCAUUUUUAUGUAGGAACCCAAUUCAAUAGGUAGGUGUGCCAUCUUGGAUAUUUUCAAGAUUUCCCAACUCUUCAUCUCAGAAAUUGUCAUGUGAGAUGCAGAAUAGUAACGUUGAAGAUAUUAUCUGAGAACAGCAAUAAACAAUUAUGCUCUACAACAUGAGUAUUUUUUUACUUAUAUGAAAUAUGUGUGUGUAUAUAUAUAUAUAUCGGUUAUAAAAUGAGAUAGGGGUUGGAAAUUCAACCCACCAUGGGAUAACAUAUAUCCAAUAUACUGCUAGAGAGGUACCCAACAAGACUAAUACAUAAAUGUUAAAAAUUGCCAUGCAAUUAAUUCAUCUACUGUAUUAUGUGGGCAAGGGUAAAAAUAUUACCGUAAAUUAAUAAUACAAAAUUAGAAAAUGGAGAAACAUACUUAAAUCAAUCAAACAUCAACCAUCAGAUGAUACCCAAUCAAUACUUUAUUACACCAUUACAUAACAGCAAAUUAUAUCAUAUCUGACAGCUGUUUCGGCCGUGAGGACAAGUAUGCCUCAUUUAACCUAUAAGGCAGGUAUAAAUGAGACAUUAACAAGGAUGUCCCACGGCCUCUUCAGAGAGUUUAAUUUAAUAUAAGUGUGAAAAAAUUUUUUUACAUAUAAAUAUAAAAAUAUAAAAAUGUGUGCAUAGACACUCAUAAUACUACACAUAUAUAUAUACUCAUUAAUACAAUAAUACAAAAUAAACAAAAUAUAUCAAUAUACAUUAACAAACACAGUUAUUCUACAUAUUGGACUUCUAGUUCCAUAACUAACCUCAAGGAAAAUAUAUGCACAUUCACAUUUAAAUUUAAAUCAGACAUAUAUACAUAAAAAAUAAUAAAAAAAACACACAGUUCAGUUCAUAAAAUUAUAACCCUACAAAAGUCAAUAAAAAUUACUAUUAAUAUUAAUAAUAAUAAUAAUAAUAAUAAUAAUAAAUAAAACCAUGACUGUACCAAGUACAUCAAUCGGACAUCUACAUUUCUAUAAGUCUAAUUCCUCUGUCCGCUUGAUAUUGAUUAUUCUAGAUUGAUUCGAUUGGCUUAUAGUUUUAAAUUUGAAUCACAAUGGAAAUUUUACGGUUAGUUAGUCAAGAAACGCACACGCACAUCCACAGAUCCAUCGCACAUACAUACAUAAUUAUAUGUAUACACACACACACACAUACAUAGCCACAAACACAGCCAAACACAUUAAUAAAUAAAUAAUAUAAGAGGUAUAAUCGUAACUAUGCAGCCAUCAAGCCUCUCCAAAAUGACAACAAUGCCGCUGUAUUAACUAAGAAGAUCAACUCACAUAUUUCCAUAAAAUAUUUAUUGUAAAGAUACAUAUAAUUAUAUCAAGACAUAGAAUGUAAUUUUUUCAUAAGGUGCACAAUUCAUAUGACACCGUAUUUUCUAAAAUUACAGAGUGUGUAUGAAUAUCAUAGUUAGAUACCUGGUUUUAGAUACUGUAAUACUAAUAUGCAAUAAAUGAGAGUCUAUAUUGGAUUUUGUUUGUUUUGGUUGAGUAUAUGAGUUUUUACAGGUUUUUAUUUGGCAGGCUUAUAUAUUGUAUAUUUAAUGUAUCUUUGUACUCACCUAAAUUUGUAUCUUAUGCUAUUUAUUAAUAAACCUAUUCAUUUACUCACAUUUGGCUUUAUACAUAUUAGCAGUCUUAUAUAUUUAGUCUAUAUUUGUAGUCAUCUUGAUUUGUACAUUAUGUUAUUCAUCUAUUUAUUUUUUUACUCAUUAUCUAUAGGUAUGAGUUUACAUAAUAGUAGCCUGUAUACUACGUUUAUAUAUGUACUUUCUUCAAUAUAUAUCUUCACUUUAUUUUAUGUUAUUUAUUUACCUAUAUACUCUUUUAUGCAUAUGUGGAUAUAUGCAUAUUAGCAUUACUAUAUAUUAGAUGUACCUGUGUAUUUAUCUGAAUUUGUUUUCUAUGGUAUCUAUCUAUUUAUUUAGUCAUUUACUUAUUUAUUUAUUUAUUUAAAUGUAGAUAUAUACAUACAUACAUAUCAAUUAUUUAUUUUAAUAAUAUAUGGAUACAUGUAUACUAGUUUGUACUUAUACUCUAUUUGUAAUUUUAAUUAUUCCUUCUUAUUUAUUUUAUCACAUUUUAAUCUUAAGUAAUUACAAUUAUUACAAUUAAUAUGAAAAAAUUACAUUCUAUGUCUUGAUAUAAUUAUAUGUAUCUUUACAAUAAAUAUUUUAUGGAAAUAUGUGAGUUGAUCUUCUUAGUUAAUACAGCGGCAUUGUUGUCAUUUUGGAGAGGCUUGAUGGCUGCAUAGUUACGAUUAUACCUCUUAUAUUAUUUAUUUCUUUAUGUGUUUGGCUGUGUUUGUGGCUAUGUAUGUGUAUGUGUGUGUGUAUACAUAUAAUUAUGUAUGUAUGUGCGAUGGAUCUGUGGAUGUGCGUGUGCAUAUGUGCGUUUCUUGACUAACUAACCGUAAAAUUUCCUUUGUGAUUCAAAUUUAAAACUAUAAGCCAAUCGAAUCAAUCUAGAAUAAUCAAUAUCAAGCGGACAGAGGAAUUAGACUUAUAGAAAUGUAGAUGUCCGAUUGAUGUACUUGGUACAGUCAUGGUUUUAUUUAUUAUUAUUAUUAUUAUUAUUAUUAUUAAUAUUAAUAGUAAUUUUUAUUGACUUUUGUAGGGUUAUAAUUUUAUGAACUGAACUGUGUGUUUUUUUUAUUAUUUUUUAUGUAUAUAUGUCUGAUUUAAAUUUAAAUGUGAAUGUGCAUAUAUUUUCCUUGAGGUUAGUUAUGGAACUAGAAGUCCAAUAUGUAGAAUAACUGUGUUUGUUAAUGUAUAUUGAUAUAUUUUGUUUAUUUUGUAUUAUUGUAUUAAUGAGUAUAUAUAUAUGUGUAGUAUUAUGAGUGUCUAUGCACACAUUUUUAUAUUUUUAUAUUUAUAUGUAAAAAAAUUUUUUCACACUUAUAUUAAAUUAAACUCUCUGAAGAGGCCGUGGGACAUCCUUGUUAAUGUCUCAUUUAUACCUGCCUUAUAUGGCUUAUAGGUUAAAUGAGGCAUACUUGUCCUCACGGCCAAAACAGCUGUCAGAUAUGAUAUAAUUAUAUAUUAUAUUUUAUAUUUCUAUUCCUUGUCUAAUUAUAUUUACAAUAUAUUUUGUAUAAUGCCUUUGCUGUUAUGUAAUGGUGUAAUAAAGUAUUGAUUGGGUAUCAUCUGAUGGUUGAUGUUUGAUUGAUUUAAGUAUGUUUCUCCAUUUUCUAAUUUUGUAUAUAUAUAUAUAUAUAUAUAUAUAUAUAUAUAUAUAUAUAGUCAUUAGACUGCAGCUGUGCUGGGGCACCACCUCGAAGGGUUUAGUCAAACAAAACGACGCCAUUAUUUAUUUCUAAGCUUGGUUCUCAUUGUGUUGGUGUCUCUUUUGUCUGUCGAAUGGCUAUGAUAUGGGGACAUUAACAAACCAAUACCUGUUGUCAAGUGGUGGUGGAGUACAAACACAAGGAUACAUACAUAGAUAUGUGCAAAUACAUACAUAUAUAUAUAUAUUUGAUGGGCUUCUUUCAGUUUCCAUCUACCAAAUCCACUCACAAGGCUUUGGUUGGCUCAUGGCUGUAGUAGAAAACACUUGCCCUAGAUGCUAUGCAGUAGGACAGAAUUUGAAACCAUGUGGCUGGGAAGCACGCUUCUUACUACACAGCCAUGCCAGAGCCUAUCCAUACAGUCAAAAAACUUUUUUGUAUUUACUUUUCCUUGCUGGCAUGAGUUGGGCAGGUCUUGCAUGGCUCCUCAAAUCAGUUCUUAUUUGGAGUUAUUAUCAUUCUAGAUCUGUUAGUGUUAGUAAGGUAUAUCUUACUUGCACACUCCAUUUAUUUAUGUAUAAUUUAACUUGGUCGACUUAAAAACUAACACUGACAAAUUUUUUUUUCUGUUUAAAAGUAUCAGCAUGUUGGAAUAGAUUAGAAAAAAAACCCCAGCAAAAUUCAUUACAAGUAGAUUGAUAAAAGCUUUUCUCAUAAGCUAACACGUGCUGAUUCAGUAACCAAAUACUGGGAUUAUUUUCUCUGUAAUCUGUUUUGGUAUUACUAUUAGGUUGUUUCACAUGAAUGGUCGCAUUUUUAAUUACUUGUUAUUUCAGUUAUUUAAAAAUCUAAAUUAUAUAUACCUUGCAUUUAAUCUUGACUCUUUUUCUUUCCCAACAAUAUUGGCAUACAAAAUUCGUACCUACAGACCUUAUGAAAAUGAUAAUAAACUAUGUUGAGUGGUUUUCUCAAAUGAGUACAAACUAGGUCACUCUGCCGCAGAAGCUCUAUGGAAUAUCAAGCGUGCCUUUGGUAAUAGUUUUGUUGACAUCAGAACUAUUUAGAGAUGGUUCCAAAGCUCUUGUUCACAAAAUGAUAGCCUUGAAAAUAAACCAAGGGGUAGGCCAAAAUCAGUUAUUUGGCAUGAUGGAUUAAAUGCUUUAGGUGAACAAAAUCUGAGAACAAAUUUUCAAAAACUUUCGUCAGAACUCCAAGCAUCCCUCACAACUGUUUUUGGACACCUAUAAAAAAAUUGGAAAAGUCAAGAAAAUGGAUAGGUUUAUUCCACCUCAACUGAACGAGAUUAAAAAAAAACAGACACCUCAGAGUGUGCUCCUUAUUGCUUUCUCAUCUGAAAAAAGAUCAUUUUUGCAUCAAAUCAUUAUUUGUGAUGAGAAAUGAAUACUCUUUGACAACAGCAGAACAGGACAGUGAUUAGAUGUAGGAGAGUCACCUAAACACUACUCAAACCCACUGUUGCACCCCUAAAAAGUUAGCAGUCAUUGCCAGUAUUGAGCACUGUUUGUUUCAGAUGACCAAAUUAAAUUAUUCACAUACUACAGCAGUGCUACACCAUAUGGUUCAAGUGGCUCAAGUUUUGGUAGUCUAUAGUGAGUUUCAUAAAACCAAAGCAGUCACAAAUUUUUAAUGUGAAGACUGCCUCCAAUCUGCAGGACACUGAGGUUGCAGUUUAUACAGAUUUUCAAGAUUUUUAGGCUGAAAUUACAAGGCUUGAAUGAGACGCCAGUUUGUCAUAAGGUUGGAUCCUUACUGGCAACUAAGAUGCAACCUAGCUGAAUGUUCUAAAGCAAUAUGAAGUAUGUUACUCGAGUACAUAAUGUGCCACCUGGUCAGAUUGUAAACAAAAGUAUUAAAUUUAUAUCUUAUUUAAUAUAAUAUAUGAUUAAAUUUGUUAAUCUGAAAUAUUUAUGUCCUACUGAGUUGUUCCUUAAAAUAAUUAGAAGUAAAUUCGUAUUUGGUCAUCCACGAAAAUGUUCUCGUGAAUUUUGUGAAGCACCUCCUGAAAAAGGUUGUACAUCACUGCUCUACAGUAUUGAGGACAUUUGCUGUCCUUCAUUACUUUGAUGUGCAUGCGUGUGUGUAUAUAUAUAUAUAUAUAUAUAUAUAUAUAUAUAUAUAUAUAUAUUUGUCAAAGGAUAUAUAUGUAUAUAUAACGGAACAUAAAGCGAAAUUAAUGACUACAUACACAUGCAUGUGUAUGUACACACAUACACUCAUAUGCGUGAGUGUGUGUAUUUAAGUUAUGUUUAAGGAACAGGAAAUGGAGCUAUUUGCGAGUACUUGUUCAGAGUGUGUCAUAUUUAUUAAUAUCAAGUAAAUAGUUCUGUUGUAAACAGGUGUGUUGUAACAGAGAAAAGGUUUGAAAAUAGAAAGUAUGUGGUGAGAGGUAAAAUGUAAAGAGAAUUAUAUUUGAAAGAAUAGUAACUGUAUCUAUUAUCUGAAUUGCAAAUUGAAGUGAUAGGAAAAUAGAUGUGAACACAUACUGAAAUUAAUAAAUCUGGAAGCAAGAACAACACCAACAAUUCAAAUAAGUUUGUUCAGAAUGCUUGAAAUAAUAAGUGACCAUCAAAUUCACCCCUACUACCUCAUAAAAGGGAAUGGUAUGGUACAUUGGAUAGUGUAGUUCUAGAUAAAUUGUGUCUGAUUAGAAAAAAAUUGAAAAACUGGGUGGUUACAAUUAGAAUCGUAAGUCUGUUUAAUCAUAGUUGAACUGAAGAUAAACAACUGCGACUAAAAUUAAUACACUUGUAAAUUAUUGGGAUGUUUUUAUAUAAUUUUUUUACAUUCGGUAUUUUUGUUGGUGUUUAUAAACCAAUAAAGAGAAAACGUUUGAGGCCAUGCAAAGUUGGUGUUUGAGGGACAACUAGGAGGAAUGUAAAACUUUGUGAGGGAAAGAGAGAGGGAGAAUGAGGAGAAGAAGGAGAGAGACUGAAAUAAGACAGGUUCACUAAUGUAAGAUCUACAUACCAGCUUGACGUGCUAGAAAAUAGCUGCUAAAUCUUCCAAUGAUAUCCUCUUUUAUAAAAAUGGACACUUAGGAUCAUGUGACCCCACGCUGUAGUAUGCAAGAUAAAAGCCCAAGUUCUGACAUAGCAAUAAUAAAGGAUAUGUUUUUAUGAAUUUAUGUUAAAUUAUCUUAAGAAAUUUGAGACAUGUGCAACUACAUAUAUGUGGAUGACUCUACAUACUCAUGGUUCUUGACUGCAUAUGUGCAUCUGUAGCCCUGGGAAAAGUAUAUAUAUUUGCAAUGAGAAACACUUCCCAUCGCCAACUGGUGGUUGUCACAAACAUUAUUACCUAUUCGAUAUGAUUUAGCUUUACAAACUAUCUCCCAAUUUAAAUUAUACUUAAUUCACUUAGAAGGUGGGUAGUUCCUCGUGAUGAGUGUAUCCUUUAGUUCAUGUAUUCGUGUGUCUCUGGUAUUUCAAUUAGAAAUUAUAGUACAUAUCCUUUUUGCUAGGUUGAAGGGGAUAUUCAUUCUGGUGUGUCUGGGGUGACAUGAGUUGAACGGUAGAUAUUGUUUGGAGUCCGUGGGCUUACAGUAUAUAUCUGUUUCUAUUACGUUGUUAGAUUUCUUAAUGUGGAUGUUUAUACAUACACACACAUACAUAUAUAUAUAUAUAUUUAUACACACACACACACAUGUAUGUGUAUACAUCUAUCUGGAUAUUUUGUUGUCCCUCUUUUGUAUCAUCUAGCUGUCUGGAUCUUUUGCGUUCUUGUCCCAUUUUUUGUAUUCCUUUUUAUAUACAUUUGGCAGCAUACAUACACUUUGGUCUCUUAUAUGUAAGUGUAUAUAUAUAUAUAUAUAUAAUACAAAAUGUGACAAGUACGCAAAACAUCCAAAGAUAAUCUGGAACUCGACUGAGGAAAGAAAACUCCAAAUGACCUGUCCUUGAUUUCUUUGUAUGUCUAUCUGGAUGUUUUGUUGUCCCUUUUUUGUAUCACCUAGCUGUCCGGAUGUUUUGCGUUCUUGUCCCAUUUUGUAUUGUUUUAUAUAUAAUAACAAAGCGGCGUACGUACACUUUGGUCUUUUAUAUGUAAGUAUAUAUUUAUCUACACACACACACACAUGCACGCACACACGCACGCACAUAUAUCUAAAUUUUGUACGACUCUCUUAUUCCUUCAUUCUUUCUUUCUAUCAGUCCCUUCACAUUUAUUUCAUUCUUUCCACUCUUCUUUCUUUCGUUUCCCCUCUCUCACAUAUG